UACAGAGGUCUCAAGCGUUGUUCGGAUUCAUUGGGCGUAAAGGGUUCGUAGGUGGCCAACUAAGUCAGACGUGAAAUCCCUCAGCUUAACUGGGGAACUGCGUCUGAUACUGGUUGGCUUGAGUGCAGGAGAGGAAUGCGGAAUUCCAGGUGUAGCGGUGAAAUGCGUAGAUAUCUGGAGGAACACCGGUGGCGAAGGCGGCAUUCUGGACUGUAACUGACACUGAUGAACGAAAGCCAGGGUAGCAAACGGG
rnacentral:rRNA from 1 species